GGCCCGGUCCAAACGCAACAACAGGAAUAGCACGCUCAUCGCGCCGGCGCGCCUCCGCCGCGCGAUUCACCGGCGGCGUCGGCGGCUGCUCCGCCUUCCACCCUCGGGCCCGCGCCACCGAUGUGGAAGCGCCUCCUGGAGACGACCAAGAAGGUGGUCUCGGCCGUGCCCAAGUUAGCCCCCGCGGCGCCGAAGCUGGCCACACGGAAGCGCCCCUCGUGCACCCGCCGCUCCGACGUCUCUCCGGCCACCAAGGUCACCCCCGAAGCCCUCCUCCGCCUCGAGCAGGCCACCGUAUCCAAGAAGACCACCUUACCCUCCGCCCUCCCCCACGCCCUCGCCAACGAUGGGGAGGACGAGGACAACUCGCGCGAUUUCACCACGGAGAUUCUGUCCAUCUUAAACGGGCCAGAAGACACGGAAGAGUCGGGGGACACGGAGGGGGCGCCAGAGGAGUCUGAAGACGCCGAGGAUGUUAUCAGCAACAAGAUACUGGAGAUGGAGUGGUUUGAGGGGUCACAGCCGAGUAACACUACGACGCAAUAUCGGAAGGAGGUUGCGAGGGAGAAGAAGAAGCGCUACAUCUUCAAGAACACUGAGACCCGCCGCUUCACGAGGCUGAUGCGCAUGUGUGCCGACAAGCUUGGCACGGAGUCUGCGCUCGAGUUCUUCGGGAGGCUGGGUAGGGAAACCGGGAUCAAGGAGUUCAAUGCAUUGAUUAGGGUGUGCUUGGACAAGGCGAGGGAUUGCGAGGAUAUUGACUCAGCGGUGGAACAUAUUUUCCGCGCAUAUCGCCUUUUUGAGUUGAUGAAAGAUAGGGGGUUUCAGAUUGAGGAAGAUAGUUAUGGGCCAUUCUUGUUGUAUCUGGUGGAUGUGGAGUUGUUGGAGGAAUUUGAGAUGUUCAGUGCAUUUUUUAAGGAUGCGAAUCCACGGUCCUACUCCAGGAUAGCUUAUUAUGAGAUGUUGCUUUUGAUUAGAGCUCAGGAUGAAGAAAGCAUUCAGGAACUUUGUCGCUCUGUUGAAGACUGCAAUGAGGAAGCUCAUUAUGGCAUUGCAGAAAGCUAUAUGCUCGCCUUUGCUGAAAGCAACAGAAGGGUGGACUUUGUCAGGUUCUUGGAGUUACUUGACCAAAGAAAACUUUCAGGCUCAAAGUACAUAUCUAGUAUAUUCAAGUAUAUGGGUAGGUUCGAACUGGAGAACUAUGCUGACAAACUUCUUCAGGAAAUGACGUCAAAAGAGUGUGCUGAUGGAAAAGUUUCAUCCUUAACUUUUGACUAUGCUGCAAAUGUACCAAAUAUAGCGGCUGAAGAUGUGAUAUCAACAUUUAACAAAUGGCAAGAGAAGUAUGAGCUAGCACCUUCUGUUGGUGCAUAUGACAGGAUCAUUUCCUUCUGUUGCAGUUCAUCAAAGAUUAGCUUAGCUCUUGACGUGGCUGAGUGCCUUUGUAAAUCCAAUCCCAGUGUGCCCAUUGAAUUGCUUAAUCCAAUAAUACAAGCCUGUGAGGAAAGCUUUGAGCUUCAUUUGGCUCGGUCCUUAUAUGAUCUGAUGAGUCGCCACAAGUUGAAAUUGAAAAACGAAACAUUCAGGAGCAUGAUAAGUUUACGUGUAAAGAUGAAAGAUUUUCAAGGUGCUUACGAUAUACUCACAGAUGCAGAAGAAUCUGGGGAGACAUCUACCGUAACCCUGUAUAACAUUAUUAUGGCUGGAUAUUUUAGGGAGAAAAAUCACAAUGGAGCACAAAGGGUCAUUGCACAAAUGCAGAGUGCUGGAGUAAAACCAGACUCUGAAACAUUCAGUUAUUUGAUUUUGAACUGCGAUUCUGAAGAGAAAGUAUCAAAGUAUCUUGAUGAACUACGACAAGAUGGUAUUCAAAUGACCAAGCAUGCAUAUAUGGCACUCGUUAAUGCAUAUUCAAGACUUGGGAAUUUUGACAUGGCCAAACAGGUUGUCCUGGAUAACGAGAUAUCACCUAAGUACCUCAGUGAAGUGAAAAGCGCGCUUGUAGGUGCGCUUGCAUCAAAUGGGAAGGUAUCAGAUGGACUUAACAUAUUUGAUGAAAUUAAGCAAUCCGGAGGCUGCCUCGAACCAAAGGCUGCAGUAGCCCUGAUUGAGCAUACUCAAACAGAAGGGGAGUUAGAUAGACUGUAUCAACUUCUGGAGGAGCUGAGCGAGCCAAACAUGUGGUUUGAUGGGUGCAGCAGAGUGCUUCAAUACUGUGUUCAGCACAAUCACUCUGAUGCCGCUGUUGAUUUACUUAGGCAGCUCAAGGAAAGAAGUGAAAUGAGUACGUACAUGGUUGUUGAUCAGGUCUUUUGCCAAAUAUGGGAAAUGGAGCCUGUAAAUUUGGAUCUUGGAAUGGAGCUUCUCCGUGCUGUCAAAGAACUCGGGCUUAAUGUUUCUCGGACAAGCCUUGAUUUUCUUCUCAGCACUUGUGUAAAGGCAAAGGAUUCAGAACAUGCUCAGCAGAUCUGGACAGAAUACGAAUCUUCUGGCCUUCCACACAACGUGCUGACUUCCUUGAGGAUGUACCAGGCUCUUCUUUCAUCCGGGCAACGGCAGGCUGCUCGGAAGUUAUUGAACACAGUACCAAAGGAUGAUCCUCAUGUACGUUUCAUAGUACAUUCUUGCAGAACGACAUAUAAACAGGGCCGUAAAAAAUCUUCUAGGAAGACGGGAGAUAGAAUAUGAUGAGACCAAAGCACCAGUGGCGAAGAUGGACUCGGUGAGAACCUUAAUCACUGUCAAUUGGGCCUAGUCCAGGAAAAAAGCUGCUGCUAAGGAGAAGAGGAGACACGAGGUUCUUCUUUUGCCAUGAUACCCCUGUAUCCAACUUGCACCUGCUUAGAUGUAUUCCCCACAAACACACAACCAAGUUGAUGAUCAGGUGUGGGGUGGAGGAAGGGGGGUCUGGAUCAAACAAGGGGCUUGGAAAAAUGGUUUUGGAGACGUCUCAAAAUUUGGUCCCCUGCUGCCCCUACCUGGUUUUUCUUUCGCCUUUUCCUUGAGUACUUGUACUUUCAAAAUCUUUUCUAUUACCAGUUUUGAGACCAGGAACAGACGGAUUAUGUGGUGGGGGUAGCAACUUUACCAUGUGUCAUUUGAAACCUAUGAUUUCCCCCGGAAUCAUGAACCGUUUUCGGUAAAUUCAUGUAAACUACAGUGAAAUUCACGUGUUCCGAACAAAACGACAGUCCGUCGUACUUCA